UACGGAGGGUGCAAGCGUUAUCCGGAUUCACUGGGUUUAAAGGGUGCGUAGGCGGGCAGGUAAGUCAGUGGUGAAAUCUCCGGGCUUAACUCGGAAACUGCCGUUGAUACUCUCUGUCUUGAAUACCGUGGAGGUGAGCGGAAUAUGUCAUGUAGCGGUGAAAUGCUUAGAUAUGACAUAGAACACCAAUUGCGAAGGCAGCUUACUACACGAUCAUUGACACUGAGGCACGAAAGCGUGGGGAGCAAACAGG
rnacentral:rRNA from 1 species